rnacentral:rRNA from 1 species
AGUCGAGCGAAUGGAUUAAGAGCUUGCUCUUAUGAAGUUAGCGGCGGGCGGGAUGAGUAACACGUGGGUAACCUGCCCAUAAGACUGGGGAUAACUCCGGGGAAAACCGGGGCUAAUACCGGAUAACAUUUUGAACCGCAUGGUUCGAAAUUGAAAGGCGGCUUCGGCUGUCACUUAUGGAUGGACCCGCGUCGCAUUAGCUAGUUGGUGAGGUAACGGCUCACCAAGGCAACGAUGCGUAGCCGACCUGAGAGGGUGAUCGGCCACACUGGGACUGAGACACGGCCCAGACUCCUACGGGAGGCAGCAGUAGGGAAUCUUCCGCAAUGGACGAAAGUCUGACGGAGCAACGCCGCGUGAGUGAUGAAGGCUUUCGGGUCGUAAAACUCUGUUGUUAGG